GGUGAUUCUAAGUAUAUGUGUUUAUAACAGUUGAAGUGUGAAUUUAACAUAUUAAAAGAGUUUUACAGCAUCUGUUCAGAAAAGAUUGUAUACUAUGCAAACUAUUCAAGUCAUACAAAACCAUUUUUGCAGUGUCUUUUCAACUGAGAAGAAUUCUAUUCAGCACUCUUCUCCUUCUGAGGUGGUUCAUACUGAACAAGCUUUGCUUUCAGUUUUUUAUUUUCUUCUACAGUAGCUUCAUAUUUUUCUUUCAUUUCUGCCCAUUCUAAGCUGGGCAACUCUAUUUCUGGAUUUUCUAGGGUAGCAGCUCUUAAGUGAUGCUUUAAAAAAUCCAGGGGCUGGGGAUGUGGCUCAAGGGGUAGUGCCCUCGCCUGGCGUGUGUGCGGCCCGGGGUCGAUCCUCAGCACCACAUACAAAGAUGUUGUGUCUGCAGAAAACUGAAAAAUAAAUAUCGUUCUCUCUCUCUCUCUCUCAAAAAAAAAAAAAAAAAAUCCAAAGCACUAUUAGGUUUCUCUGGUUCUUCAUCUAAGGCUACCAACACCUUGGUCAGCAUGUCCAGCACCCCC
rnacentral:lncRNA from 1 species